rnacentral:rRNA from 1 species
CCUACGGGAGGCAGCAGUGGGGGAUAUUGCACAAUGGCGGGAACCCUGGUGCAGCGACGCCGCGUGGGUGAAGAAGCGCCUCGGCGCGUAAAGCUCUGUCAGCAGGGAAGAAAAUGACGGUACCUGAAGAAGAAGCCCCGGCUAACUACGUGCCAGCAGCCGCGGUAAUACGUAGGGGGCAAGCGUUAUCCGGAUUUACUGGGUGUAACGGGGGCGCAGACGGCGAUGCAAGCCAGGGGUGAAAGCCCGGGGCCCAAGCCCGGGACUGCUCUUGGAACGGCGUGGCUGGAGUGCAGGAGGGGCAGGCGGAAUGCCUGGUGUAGCGGUGAAAUGCGUAGAUAUCAGGAGGAACACCGGUGGCGAAGGCGGCCUGCUGGACUGCAACUGACGUUGAGGCCCGAAAGCGUGGGGAGCAAACAGGAUUAGAUACCCUAGUAGUC